UACGAAGGGGGCUAGCGUUGCUCGGAAUCACUGGGCGUAAAGGGCGCGUAGGCGGCCAUUCAAGUCGGGGGGUGAAAGCCUGUGGCUCAACCACAGAAUUGCCUUCGAUACUGUUUGGCUUGAGUUUGGUAGAGGUUGGUGGAACUGCGAGUGUAGAGGUGAAAUUCGUAGAUAUUCGCAAGAACACCAGUGGCGAAGGCGGCCAACUGGACCAAUACUGACGCGUGAG
rnacentral:rRNA from 1 species